GACGAACGCUGGCGGCGUGCUUAACACAUGCAAGUCGAACGGAAAGGCCUCUUUCGGGGGGUACUCGAGUGGCGAACGGGUGAGUAACACGUGAGUAACCUGCCCUUGACUUUGGGAUAACUACAGGAAACUGGGGCUAAUACCGGAUAGGAGCUCCUGCUGCAUGGUGGGGGUUGGAAAGUUUCGGCGGUUGGGGAUGGACUCGCGGCUUAUCAGCUUGUUGGUGGGGUAGUGGCUUACCAAGGCUUUGACGGGUAGCCGGCCUGAGAGGGUGACCGGCCACAUUGGGACUGAGAUACGGCCCAGACUCCUACGGGAGGCAGCAGUGGGGAAUAUUGCACAAUGGGUGGAAGCCUGAUGCAGCAACGCCGUGUGCGGGAUGACGGCCUUCGGGCUGUAAACCGCUUUCGCUCAUGACGAAGCUUUGUGUGACGGUAGUGGGUAAAGAAGCACCGGCUAACUACGUG
rnacentral:rRNA from 1 species